CCUACGGGUGGCAGCAGUGGGGAAUAUUGGACAAUGGGCGAAAGCCUGAUCCAGCCAUGCCGCGUGUGUGAAGAAGGCCUUCGGGUUCUAAAGCACUUUCAGUGGGGAAGAAAGCCUUGGGGCUAAUACCCUCGAGGAAGGACAUCACCCACAGAAGAAGCACCGGCUAACUCCGUGCCAGCGCCGCGGUAAUACGGAGUGUGCGAGCGUUAAUCGGAAUUACUGGGCGUAAAGCGCGCGUAGGCGGUCUGAUAAGCCGGUUGUGAAAGCCCCGGGCACAACCUGGGAACGGCAUCCGGAACUGUCAGGCUAGAGUGCAGGAGAGGAAGGUAGAAUUCCCGGGGUAGCGGUGAAAUGCGUAGAGCUCGGGAGGAAUACCAGUGGCGAAGGCGGCCUUCUGGACUGACACUGACGCUGAGGUGCGAAAGCGUGGGUAGCAAACAGGAUUAGAUACCCGAGUAGUC
rnacentral:rRNA from 1 species